AGCUUGCUGGGGGAUUAGUGGCGAACGGGUGAGUAACACGUGAGUAACCUGCCCUUGACUCUGGGAUAAGCCUGGGAAACUGGGUCUAAUACCGGAUAUGACCAUUCCACGCAUGUGGUGGUGGUGGAAAGCUUUUGUGGUUUUGGAUGGACUCGCGGCCUAUCAGCUUGUUGGUGGGGUAAUGGCCUACCAAGGCGACGACGGGUAGCCGGCCUGAGAGGGUGACCGGCCACACUGGGACUGAGACACGGCCCAGACUCCUACGGGAGGCAGCAGUGGGGAAUAUUGCACAAUGGGCGCAAGCCUGAUGCAGCGACGCCGCGUGAGGGAUGACGGCCUUCGGGUUGUAAACCUCUUUCAGUAGGGAAGAAGCGAAAGUGACGGUACCUGCAGAAGAAGCGCCGGCUAACUACGUGCCAGCAGCCGCGGUAAUACGUAGGGCGCAAGCGUUAUCCGGAAUUAUUGGGCGUAAAGAGCUCGUAGGCGGUUUGUCGCGUCUGCUGUGAAAGACCGGGGCUCAACUCCGGUUCUGCAGUGGGUACGGGCAGACUAGAGUGCAGUAGGGGAGACUGGAAUUCCUGGUGUAGCGGUGAAAUGCGCAGAUAUCAGGAGGAACACCGAUGGCGAAGGCAGGUCUCUGGGCUGUAACUGACGCUGAGGAGCGAAAGCAUGGGGAGCGAACAGGAUUAGAUACCCUGGUAGUCCAUGCCGUAAACGUUGGGCACU
rnacentral:rRNA from 1 species